GUGUAAAGGCGAUAAGGAAGGGGUGGGGGGGCUAAAGGGGGGGGGGUACCUCCCCGCCCCCAGCCUUGGGGCGGGCACAGGGGAGGCGGACCCGAGCCCCGCCGCACGCCCCGCCCGGCCAUAAAGCGCCGGGACCCGGCGGCGCUCGGCAGCGCCGCUCCCGUUGCCCCCCCCCCCGGGCUUAUCGGCCCCCCCCCAGCCGUGCCCGGUGCCCCCGGGGGGUGGCAGCGCUGCCCCGGCGCCAUGCCGGGCUGGAGGAAGAGCCUCGCCCUGUGCCUGCAGCGGAUGCAAGAGGACGGAGGAUGCAGUAGCUGCUACGUGCGAUUGGUACAAAAUCGGAGCUAUUGAAGAAAUGCCUGCCCCAAUGGUAACCGAGCUCCACGAGGACAGGUUUUCUGAAGCUGUCCAAGUACUGCAUGGCUGGAAGUAAGAAUCAGUAGUUUUUUUCCGUUGCAUGUGGAUGUGUCUGCUAAAAUCCUUGCCCGCAGACACCUGCGUUUACGGAAGAUGGCUGUCACUUGAAUGAAAGACUGUCUCCUUGUCUGCUGUGCCUGAUGUAUGGGCAAUCUCGCUGCCAUCAGUAGCGAAUUUAUUGGCUGCACUGUGAUUAAAUGGAGGGCAAUGGCAAUGUGCAAAGCGAUGCUGGGUCCCUCUAUCUCUAUGCUCCUGUCCCUAUGGACAGAAGGAGUGGUAGUGAAGAUGCUGCCGGGGUGGUCUGUCCUUGGUUCCUUGUGGUUUUUGGCAGCGAGCGUCUGUUGCUGUUCACCAGUUCCCUGCAAGCCGCCGUGCUGCGUCUCCCAGAGGGGUGGGAGCUCGGUGUCCUGCUUGCUUCAGCCUGCCCCAGCCUGGCAGCCUCAGCAAGCAAGGGUUUGAGAUGCACGACCGGGAAUAUGGCUUUUGGGCUUUUUUCCCUUGGUGUUUAAAGCUUCCUGGGCAUUUCUGCAAAUGCUGCUCCAACUUCUCCCCCAGCUUGCCCUGAAGUCCCCAUGACGUGGAAUUACUCCAGCAGCUGCAACGAGCCCCUCCUACUAGCCCUGACAGCCCGUCUGCUUUAUCAGCUGUUUCCAGUGCUUUUCCCUUUCUCUAAUGAAUUUCCACUGCCUUAGUGCUACAGAGUCUCAAAUUCAGUUUUGAGAGCUUGUGGUUAGGGGUGAAGCUGAAGCGGGACAGGGGAAGCAACGCUCCCGAAGGGCAGGGUGAGCAUCCAGAAGCCUGUAGGCACCACUAGCUGAGUUCCCCCUUCCAUACAGCCCCUGGAAUACGAGUGUCUGUGGCACAGAACAAGGGGCUUUUAGUUUUGUCUUCGGGCAGAAGUGUUUCAGACCUAAAAACCUGCGUUAUUUGGGCUGCAGUCUUGCAAAUUCCCUGUGGAGCUGAACACGUUCCUUCUUCCCAGGCCAUCAAGUCAUCCUGGAGCCCGUUGCUUUCCUUUCAGUACUGGAUGGCGGGGUGCAAACCCUGACGUUUGCUCAUGUUAAAGCACUUGUGUGAGCAGCAUGGGUCUGCUGCCAGCUUUAUUCCAAAGAUGCGACGCUGGUGGGGGCCCUGCGUUACCUGUGUGGGCGCAGGCAGCUCUCCAACAGUGAUCCUGAAAUCCUCUUUUCCAGCAGCGGUGACGGUUGUCACCGCAAUUUCUAGCUCAAGAGGCAAAACUGUUUGAUCCUGCUGCACGCACAGGAAUGCCUUUGCUCCUGGAUAUCUCCCUGCAUGGAAGCGCUGCUCACAAACUGCAGCUGCCCCUUGGGCUGUAGCGUUGAGGAGGAGAUGCCCUGUGUUUCCCCAGCCUUUGGGAGGAGGGAAUGGGAAUGUAGCAGCAGGAUUUCUGCAGGGAUGUCGGUGCUUGCUUGGGUGUUGCAGUUGUUUACACGAGAGGGAUAAAAUCCAGCACUGGUGAAGAGGAAGAGGCUGGGGAAAGGAGAGGAGCGGAGGAGCUGGGGCAGCUCCCCUUGCGUAUGACCAGAAGCUGUUCCAGGUAAAAAUGCUAUGGUCAGAGAGCUGGGGCACCUGGAAGAGGAAUGACGAAGUGCUCUUAGAGGAUAUAGGUUGUCAGUGGGAAUUGGGAGCUCUGGAAAAGGGAUUGGGCUCAGAAGUUGAACCUAGGGAAAGGAUGUGAGGCCAGGUAGGUGUAUUUGUUCUGUGGGUACCCAGCUCCCCUUACCUCCACCCUGAAUACUACAGCAAGAAGGCAAGAAGCCUUUUGAAGCAGUCAUUUUACUGUGUCUGUAUGCAUAGGCUGUCUCAGGCAAAACAGAAAUCCCACCAAAAAAAAAAAAAAACCAACACAAGAA